rnacentral:misc_RNA from 1 species
UUUCCGUAGGUGAACCUGCGGAAGGAUCAUUAAUGAGUUGUCAUGGGGUUCGAUGCUGGCAGCCAAUUUUUGGAUGCAUGUGCUUGCCCUAACAAUCAUCUUCCAAACACCUGUGCACAUUUUUGAGGGAGUCUUGAGUUGGUUGCCGCUCUUGGGUGAUUUUCUCACAUUCCCUUAAAUCAUUAUACGCUAUUAACAAUGUUGAACGUGCUCUGUGCCGCAAGGCUAUUAAUAUAAUACAACUUUCAACAACGGAUCUCUUGGCUCUC